GUGCUCACUUUGGCAGCACGUAUGCUAAAACUGGAGCAAUACAGAGAAUAUUAGCAUGGCCCUUGCACAAAAAUGAUAUGUAAAUUUGUGAAGCAUUCCAUAUUUUU
ensembl:snRNA U6 U6 spliceosomal RNA